AGCGAACGCUGGCGGCAGGCCUAACACAUGCAAGUCGAACGAACUCUUCGGAGUUAGUGGCGGACGGGUGAGUAACACGUGGGAACGUGCCUUUAGGUUCGGAAUAACUCAGGGAAACUUGUGCUAAUACUGAAUGUGCCCUUCGGGGGAAAGAUUUAUCGCCUUUAGAGCGGCCCGCGUCUGAUUAGCUAGUUGGUGAGGUAAAGGCUCACCAAGGCGACGAUCAGUAGCUGGUCUGAGAGGAUGAUCAGCCACAUUGGGACUGAGACACGGCCCAAACUCCUACGGGAGGCAGCAGUGGGGAAUCUUGCGCAAUGGGCGAAAGCCUGACGCAGCCAUGCCGCGUGAAUGAUGAAGGUCUUAGGAUUGUAAAAUUCUUUCACCGGGGACGAUAAUGACGGUACCCGGAGAAGAAGCCCCGGCUAACUUCGUGCCAGCAGCCGCGGUAA
rnacentral:rRNA from 1 species